rnacentral:misc_RNA from 1 species
UUUUGUAGACAAUCAUUGGCAGGUUAGUGUGAGAUAUUUGGAUAUUUUUCAUUCCCAGAUUAAGUUCAUGAGAUAUCAAUUAAGAAAUUCCAUAUAUUCAUGGCUUAUUCAUGGAUAUUUGUUGAACAAAAUUAUUGAAUUUGUGAUGCUUGCUGAAGGCAUUUGAUCUGAUUCAUCAAACUAGGUCCAUUUAACCAGCUUGCAGUUAUGAACUGUUGAUCCACAAUAAUGGAAAAAACACAGCCUAGAGCUACUCAUAGAUGCAAAUAACUUCUAUAUAUUGAGAUAGG